GCGGGAAUAGCUCAGUUGGUAGAGCACGACCUUGCCAAGGUCGGGGUCGCGAGUUCGAGUCUCGUUUACCGCUCCA
rnacentral:tRNA from 4 species